GACGAACCGAGCGAACGUUAUUCGGAAUCACUGGGCUUAAAGGGCGCGUAGGCGGGCGAUCAAGUCAGGGGUGAAAGCCCCCAGCUCAACUGGGGAAGUGCCUUUGAUACUGGUCGUCUCGAGGGGGAUAGGGGCGUGCGGAACUUCCGGUGGAGCGGUGAAAUGCGUAGAUAUCGGAAGGAACACCGGUGGCGAAAGCGGCGCACUGGAUCCCUUCUGACGCUGAGGCGCGAAAGCCAGGGGAGCGAACGGG
rnacentral:rRNA from 1 species